rnacentral:lncRNA from 1 species
CUGAAUGAGGUGGGGACUGUGAAUGACCUGCUGAAAUAUGAAAAGAAGUUUCCAUCUGAGAAGGCAGCAGGCUUAGUGUCCAAGAGUCUGCAGUUUGAAAACACAUCAUGCCUGGUGUGGAGCAAGUACAAUGAUGUUCUCCAAGGCAUCAGCCUGCCAAAAGGGGCUGCUAUUCAAAAGGGGGUAAAAGACAAACCAACCAACCCAACAGGGCUCUAUACCUGGCUGAGGGCACUGCCAGCUUCUGGACUGUGAAAAGGCCCUAAGAUACGUGCAAGAGCUGCCGUGGGCAGAGAAGCCAGGCCAAGGAGCUGCAGAAAAG